AGAGUUUGAUCCUGGCUCAGGAUGAACGCUAGCGGCAGGCUUAACACAUGCAAGUCGAGGGGCAGCAUGUCCAGCAUUGGAUGAUGGCGACCGGCGGAAGGGUGCGUAACGCGUGAGCAACAUGCCCUAUACAGGGAGAUACACCAGGGAAACUUGGUCUAAUAUCCCAUAGCAUUCAUUGAAGGCAUCUUUAAUGAAUUAAAGCUUCGGUGGUAUAGGAUUGGCUCGCGUGACAUUAGCCAGAUGGUGAGGUAACGGCUCACCAUAGCAAUGAUGUCUAGGGGUUUUGAGAGGAAGGCCCCCCACACUGGGACUGAGACACGGCCCAGACUCCUACGGGAGGCAGCAGUGAGGAAUAUUGGACAAUGGAUGGAAAUCUGAUCCAGCCAUGCCGCGUGCAGGAAGACGGCCUUAUGGGUUGUAAACUGCUUUUAUACGGGAGCAAUAAGGGUUACGAGUAAUCCGAUGAGAGUACUGUAUGAAUAAGGAUCGGCUAACUCCGUGCCAGCAGCCGCGGUAAUACGGAGGAUCCGAGCGUUAUCCGGAAUUAUUGGGUUUAAAGGGUGCGUAGGCGGCCAUUUAAGUCAGCGGUGAAAUUUUGCAGCUUAACUGUAACAGUGCCGUUGAUACUGUUUGGCUAGGAUUUGGUUGUAGUGUGCGGAAUGUGUGGUGUAGCGGUGAAAUGCUUAGAUAUCACACAGAACACCGAUUGCGAAGACAGCACACUAAGUCAUUAUUGACGCUGAGGCACGAAAGUGUGGGGAUCAAACAGGAUUAGAUACCCUGGUAGUCCACGCCGUAAAC
rnacentral:rRNA from 1 species